UAGAUCUCAAAUCAGGUAGGACUACCCGCUGAACUUAAGCAUAUCAAUAAGCGGAGGAAAAGAAACUAACAAGGAUUCCCCUAGUAGCGGCGAGCGAAGCGGGAAGAGCUCAAAUUUAUAAUCUGGCACCUUCGGUGUCCGAGUUGUAAUCUCUAGAAGUGUUUUCCGCGUUGGACCGCACACAAGUCUGUUGGAAUACAGCGGCAUAGUGGUGAAACCCCCGUAUAUGGUGCGGACGCCCAGCGCUUUGUGAUACACUUUCAAUGAGUCGAGUUGUUUGGGAAUGCAGCUCAAAUUGGGUGGUAAAUUCCAUCUAAAGCUAAAUAUUGGCGAGAGACCGAUAGCGAACAAGUACCGUGAGGGAAAGAUGAAAAGCACUUUGGAAAGAGAGUUAACAGUACGUGAAAUUGUUGGAAGGGAAACGCUUGAAGUCAGACUUGCUUGCCGGAGCUUGCUUCGGUUUGCAGGCCAGCAUCAGUUUUCCGGGGUGGAUAAUGACGGUUUGAAGGUAGCAGUCUCGGCUGUGUUAUAGCUUUCCGUUGGAUACGCCCUGGGGGACUGAGGAACGCAGCGUGCUUUUUGCGAAAGACUCGUCUUUUUCACGCUUAGGAUGCUGGUGGAAUGGCUUUAAACGACCCGUCUUGAAACACGGACCAA
rnacentral:rRNA from 1 species